CGACCGUGGUGUAGUGGAAACACGGCGGUCUAUGACUCCGCGGUCAAGGUUCAACUGCCUUCGGUCGACCCA
rnacentral:tRNA from 1 species